rnacentral:rRNA from 1 species
CCUACGGGGGGCAGCAGUGGGGAAUAUUGCGCAAUGGAGGAAACUCUGACCCAGCAACGCCGCGUGAAUGAUGAAGGUCUUCGGAUCGUAAAGUUCUUUUCUAAGGGAAGAAGAAAGUGACGGUACCUUAGGAAUAAGCCUCGGCUAACUACGUGCCAGCAGCCGCGGUAAUACGUAGGAGGCGAGCGUUAUCCGUAAUGACUGGGCGGAAAGGGUGCGUAGGUGGUUUGGCAAGUUAGUAGCGUAACUCCAAGGCUCAACCUUGGAACUACUACUAAAACUGUUGGACUUGAGUGCAGGAGGGGCGAGCGGAAUUCCAGGUGUAGCGGUGGAAUGCGGAGAUAUUAGGAGGAACACCAGUGGCGAAGGCGGGUUGCUGGACUGUAACUGACACUGAGGCACGAAAGCGUGGGGAGCAAACAGGAUUAGAUACCCGGGUAGUC